rnacentral:tRNA from 1 species
GGAGUUGUGGCUCAGUGGUAGAGCACUUGCCUAGCACGUGUGAGGAGGCACUGGGUUCAAAUUUCAGCACCACCU